ACUAAUUUCCUGGGUGUUUUAAUCGACGUUGUUUCAAAUUACGUAUUAAUAAAACAUUGAUAAGACACAAACUACAGUUCGGUAUGUAAUUUAACUUGUUUACACGAGUAAAAGUUACUCGCGCUAAUGUGCUAACGUGCUAACUGCCCGGUGCUGCGUGAAUCAGAGGCCGGAGUGAAGUGCGUGAGCCGCGGCCGGACGGUCACCACGCCCCGGGCGGCUUAAUGGAUCGACGGAGGAUAAAAUCAUUAAAAGAUGCGGAGAAACACAUCACCAGCUCCACUGACAAGACCCAUUCACUGGAAACCGAUUAUAUAGAAGGUUACUAAGUUUUGCGGCAUUGAUGCCGCUCGUGGCGGGACCCUCGGCCGGCUGGUGAAUGAUGACUAUCUGCACCCAAACUGCACUGUCAAUAAGAUUGUUGUUCAGAGAAAAACCUCACUUGUGCCUUUUUGCAAUCAGGGACAUUUUCCCUGGAGAGGAAAUAACUUUUGACUAUGGCGCAUGUGAUUGGCCUUGGAGAAAGCUUUCAUUGAAGGAUAACCAUAUGACUGCAGAAGAGAACUGCUCCCACAACUCUCUGAUGAGCUGUUAUUGAAGGAUGACCAAAUGACAGAACUGCUCUGCUCCAGUAGGAGUCCCACAACUCUCUGAUGAGCUUUUAUUGAAGAAUGACCAAAUGACAGAAAGAGAGAACUGCUCUGCUCCAGUAGGAGUCCAACAACUCUCUGAUGAGCUUUUAUUGAAGAAUGACCAAAUGACAGAAAGAGAGAACUGCUCUGCUCCAGUAGGAGUCCCACAACUCUCUGAUGAGCUUUUAUUGAAGAAUGACCAUAUGACACAAGAGAGAAGUACUCUGCUCCAGUAGGAGUCCAACAACUCUCUGAUGAGCUUUUAUUGAAGAAUGACCAAAUGACAGAACUGCUCUGCUCCAGUAGGAGUCCCACAACUCUCUGAUGAGCUUUUAUUGAAGAAUGACCAUAUGACAGAAAGAGAGAACUGCUCUGCUCCAGUAGGAGUCCAACAACUCUCUGAUGAGCUUUUAUUGAAGAAUGACCAAAUGACAGAAAGAGAGAACUGCUCUGCUCCAGUAGGAGUCCCACAACUCUCUGAUGAGCUUUUAUUGAAGAAUGACCAUAUGACACAAGAGAGAAGUACUCUGCUCCAGUAGGAGUCCAACAACUCUCUGAUGAGCUUUUAUUGAAGAAUGACCAUAUGACACAAGAGAACUGCUUUGCUCCAGUAGGAGUCCAACAACUCUCUGAUGAGAGAAAGUUACAGUGGAUCGUGUUUUUGGAGGAGGUGAAGUCCAGUCUAAAAGAGUCCCCUCAAGUAUCAUCACCAUGGUACAGUGUCUGUGAAGAUAGUGAAGCAGACCCAGCAUUCACAAAAAAAAGAGAGGUCCCAUAAGGAGAAGACCCUGGAGCAAACAGGAAGUACAUGCUGUGGUGAAAGCUGAACCAUUAGUUCUAAAAACCAGAGAUUGGUCAGAUUUGGAUUUUCAUAUUAAAAACUGAAUCUUGUCUCUUUAAAGAGAAAUCUGGGUAACACUUUUAUAGUAACUACACACUAUAAAUCAUUUGUUUAGCACUAACUCUACAUUAAUAGACUUUGGUAAGCAGUUUAUAAAUACAGCUACAAAGGCUGUGUUCUU